AAGAACAACCAAGUGGUCCCAGAAGAUUACAGACUCCAAUACCCUCAAAAAAAAUAUAGUGUAGCACCAUGGACAGGACCAAAUACAAAGAUUAAUUCUACCAUGCUACCAGUGUCAUAAGAAGCCUCCUUAGUCUCAUAGUUAAAAUUUCUUUUUCUGCACGUAUCAAAGAAGAUCAUACAAGUUGAGCACUGCUUGAAAACUGCUCUUCCUUCAAAUGUAAUCCACAGAAUCCCACUUGGAGGACAAAGACUGCCCUGGCACUAGAAGCAAGCUUGGAGAGCAAAACUGGUCAACACUUUCAGGUCACUACAUCCUUAGAAAAGUUUCACAACAGUAAGGUUGUCUAUGUUCCAUCUGUAGGCAAAGGAGAGAGAGAAGAGCAUUUCUACAAACUGAUUCAUCCCAUUCUGACUGUUUAGUGCAGGAUAACCACAAAAAGAGGUGCAGAGCAAAUGAUGUUUCCGAUCAGCAACAGGUAACACUGCCAGCCAUUGGAUCCUGCUGAAUAUCCACCCAGAGGAUCACCAACAUCUUGGAAAUCUCAUGAGCAAUACUUCAAAGCACAGACUGGCAUCAUGUUACAUGACGCCUUAAGGGUUCAAAUGGUUUGGAAGUGAAAUCACUUCCAUGGUUUCUGUGAUUUGCAUGUGAAAUUGAUUUUAUUGGAUUUAUUUGAUCAUGAAGCACAAGUGUUUCCCCAAGGAGCACAAAUAAACAUGUUACUAAAAA